rnacentral:rRNA from 1 species
UACAGAGGGUGCAAGCGUUGCUCGGAAUUAUUGGGCGUAAAGGGUAGGUAGGUGGUCUCAUUUGUCUGGGGUGAAAGCCUUGAGCUUAACUCAAGAAGUGCCCCAGAAACGGUGAGACUGGAGUCCUGGAGAGGGUCGUGGAAUUCCCGGUGUAGCGGUGAAAUGCGUAGAGAUCGGGAGGAACACCAGCGGCGAAAGCGGGUCUCUGGGCCGUAACUGACACUGAGGAGCGAAAGCGUGGGGAGCGAACAGG